GUAAGUGUCUAAGGUUGGAUUUGAACUCAGAUGUUCCUGACUUUAGGUCUGGCACUCUAACCAUGGUGCCACUCAACUACCCCAGCUAAGGAGACUUAGAAAUGCCAGAGAGUGUGUGUUUGGGUCUUUGCUGGCUGCUGGACAGAUGUUCUGAUGACAUUGAUGGUGCUGAGCCUCCCAGGAUGUCUCAGUAGCAGGGAUAUCCAAGAAUUGCCUUUCUUGUGAGUCAGACUCACAAUGCAGCUUGAAUUAAUUGAUCGAUCAAACUUUGGCAACGCUCACAAUCACUAGUAUCCUUCUGCCUGUGCAUGUACCUGAAGUGAAGCGAAUCCUGUACCAGUCACAGAACUCUGGUCUUGUGACCCAGCAAGUAAAGACCCUCAAGGACUCGAGCAACAUUGUUUCCACUGGACUCCAGAAUUGUUGUAUUGUCUUCUAUCUGUGGGUUUGUGUGGGAAAUUGCUCAAGCCAGGGAAAACAUUGUUUGUAAUCCACCUUCCCCACUCCCUUCCCACUUGUGAUUUAUGUAUAUAAUCUCUGUCCUCCUUCAGCAAGGUGGAAUUCUGAUUGGGAGAAUUCCCGAUUUACAAAUC